CCCUUAGAUGUUCUGGGCCGCACGCGCGCUACAAUGGUCUUCGCAAACGGAUGCAUUCUCGAAGGAGAAUGCCAAUCUUGGAAUCUAUGCCUUGGUCGGGACAGUUGCUUGCAGUUUUUCGACUCGAACCAGGAAUUCCUUGUAAUCGUGAUUCAUCACAUCACGAUGAAUACGUCCCUGCCCUUUGUACACACCGCCCGUCGCUCCUACCGAUCGAAGAGUUAGGUGAAUUGUUUUGAUCGAUAAGAUUUGACUAUGGUCAACUCUCGUUGUGAAAUUCUGUGAAUCUGACUGUUUAGAGGAAGGAAAAGUCGUAACA
rnacentral:rRNA from 1 species